CUCCUCUCCUUCCUACCCGUCCAGAUCCCACUUAACAGCAUCGCCCCUCACCUGCACUCUGUCGCUGGUUAAUAAAGAACCCAGCAUCCUGGGCCCGCUGGCGGCUCCCGCUAUUAGCGCUCCAGAUGUUCGGCUGAUCUGAGACUGUUUUCCAGAUGUUGGGCACCUCUGUUCUCACGUGUGGGACCGCCAUCCCUUCUGCAUGAUGAAGGAGGAGAAUGCUGAAAUGGCACCAGCUUGUUUCCCCACAUCUUUGGGAUCCUUUCCUUUAGACAAGACCAAGGACACGAAUGGCUCAGUGGUUAAGAACAGUUGCUGUUUUUGCAGAAGACCUGGGUUCAGUUCUCAGUACCCACACGGUGAUUAACUCCAGUUUCUAGGGAUCCAAUGCCCUCUUCUGGCCUCCUCUGGCACCAGGCACUCGUACAGUACACACGCAUAUAAAAAUAAAAUUAAAAAUCUAGUUUAAA